rnacentral:rRNA from 1 species
CCUACGGGUGGCAGCAGUGAGGAAUAUUGGUCAAUGGGCGCUAGCCUGAACCAGCCAAGUAGCGUGAAGGAUGACUGCUCUCUGGUUUGUAAACUCCUUUUUUAUGGGAAUAUAGUGCAGUAUGUAUACUGCUUUCCAUGUACCUUAUGAAUAAGGAUCGGCUAACUCCGUGCCAGCAGCCGCGGUAAUACGGAGUAUCCGAGCGUUAUCCGGAUUUAUUGGGUUUAAAGGGAGCGUAGGCGGGUUGUUAAGUCAGUUGUGAAAGUUUGCGGCUCAACCGUAAAAUUGCAGUUGAUACUGGUAUCCUUGAGUACAGUAGAGGUAGGCGGAAUUCGUGGUGUAGCGGUGAAAUGCUUAGAUAUCACGAAGAACACCGAUUGCGAAGGCAGCCUGCUGGACUGUAACUGACGCUGAUGCUCGAAAGUGUGGGGAUCAAACAGGAUUAGAUACCCGGGUAGUC